rnacentral:rRNA from 1 species
GAAUUCGCUAGUGAUUCAGGCCUAACACAUGCAAGUCGAGCGGUAGAGAGAAGCUUGCUUCUCUUGAGAAAGGCGGACGGGUGAGUAAUGCCUAGGAAUCUGCCUGGUAGUGGGGGAUAACGUUCGGAAACGGACGCUAAUACCGCAUACGUCCUACGGGAGAAAGCAGGGGACCUUCGGGCCUUGCGCUAUCAGAUGAGCCUAGGUCGGAUUAGCUAGUUGGUGAGGUAAUGGCUCACCAAGGCUACGAUCCGUAACUGGUCUGAGAGGAUGAUCAGUCACACUGGAAGGGAGACACGGUCCAGACUCCUACGGGAGGCAGCAGUGGGGAAUAUUGGACAAUGGGCGAAAGCCU